AUGACUUUUAUAAUAUAUAUAAAUGUCUCCAUCUUUGGUUUGCAUUUACAAAAAAUAUUUAUUAUAUAGUUUAAAUUGUUCAACCCGUGUAACACACGGGGAACUAACCUAGUAUUAGCAUAUACAAUAGUCAAUGUAUUAGGUGGCAAGGUUGUACGGUCUUGAAAGUCAAUCAGUGGGAUAGUAAAAGUCAAACAAUUUUGCAACGUGUUUGAAGAAAACAAUAUGUCAUUGUAGUUAUAUGUUAAUAAAUUGAAGAUAACAUAUUUAUAUUUUUAAUUAAAUUUACAUUGUAAUAUUAACAGUCAAGGUGUUGACAAAUUUCUAUUUUUAUGGUUUAAAUACAUGAAUAAGUUUAGUGUAAUUAGAAAAACGAAUGGUAUAAUCUAUUUAUUUAAACAACUCAAAUGAGUUGUCGUGUUGUAAAAGAGUUAUCCAUGUCAUAAAACGUGUUAGUAUGUUGUAAUAAAAGAUUUAAACAAGGCGUAAACGGAUUGACAUUAUAAAAUAUAUUUUUAGUUUAAUAUUUAAAUAGACACAUAUCUACGUUUUUAAUUAAAGCAAAUUAACACCAACACAACCUGUUUAUAUAAGGAGUUAGACAAUACGAUCUAAAAUCUAAUUAUUUCCUUGUUUUUGGACCAUAUUAAAAAUUACCAUUCAUAAUUUAGAUCGGUGAAUUCACAUCACCAUAGGUAUUAACACCUAUAUAGUAAAAGUAUUACCAUACACAAUUUUAACUAGUUUAAUACCCGUCCGAUGGACGGGUUACGUUAAUGUAUUACAUUGUUACAGCAUGAAUGAAGCUAU
rnacentral:lncRNA from 1 species